UACGGGGGGGGCAAGCGUUGUUCGGAAUUACUGGGCGUAAAGGGCUCGUAGGCGGCCAACUAAGUCAGACGUGAAAUCCCUCGGCUUAACCGGGGAACUGCGUCUGAUACUGGAUGGCUUGAAUCCGGGAGAGGGAUGCGGAAUUCCAGGUGUAGCGGUGAAAUGCGUAGAUAUCUGGAGGAACACCGGUGGCGAAGGCGGCAUCCUGGACCGGCAUUGACGCUGAGGAGCGAAAGCGUGGGUAGCAAACAGG
rnacentral:rRNA from 1 species